ACUAGAUUCCAACUGAGCAAUCAGGGCGGUUAAAAUUACUGUUGCAGGUGCUCCGAGGCAAGAAGCUGCUCUGCCUUCCUGCGUUCAGAAAUUCAAAUUUAACUUGCUGGCCGGCCUUGAGAAUAAUGCAUUCAUUGCACCCAGUAACCCCACUGAACAGAUUCUGGAUUCUCUCUCACAGUUUGAUUCUGCCAUAUGUUUCAUAUAUUAAAGUCAGAAGAAAUUCGAGAGACCUUAACAGGAAGAAAAGUGUUGAUCAGCUCACUUCUUUCUAGUCAACUCAAGAAGAAAAUGGGAGCAAAAAAAAAGCUAAGUAGAAAACAGUUACUGGUUCUUUCAUGCUAUUUGACCUAAAACCACAAGAGGGAGUGGUGCUAAAUGCAUCUAAUAUUUAAAAAAACAAAACUGUGAUUCAUAAUGUCCA